rnacentral:lncRNA from 1 species
AUCCUUGGCUUAUGGCUUCGUCACUCUAGACCUCAAGGCCAAGGUCUUCGAACCUCUGGUAGCUCUGUCUUUGCAUUGCCUUCUUCUCUCUGUGGGUGAAUCUCCCUCUGCCUCCGCUUUCCUUGGCUGAGGGCAGCUGGCAAACACAGAUGAUCUGCAACAUACACCAACCCAGCUUUUAAACUCUCCUACCCAUUGUUUUGGUGGAGUUGAGUUCAGACUAUCUGUCUUCCCUGUUUCCAUAGUCUUGAAAAAAUUCCUCCUUACCUGCCUAACUUUGGUGCAUUUUGGCUUUGACAGUGGUUUACUCACCAGCACACUUAAAUGAUUUCCAUCAUGUACUAACCAGCACAUUUUAUUUCCAUCAAGCCUCUCCAAUAUGAAUGUAAAUGUGAUGUUACUUUUAGAGAAAAUUAUUAAAUAACUCUUUAUUUUCAUUCCUCCUAAAUUAUGGCAUGUUAAUGCUUAAGAAAAGCAUGAGAGAAAUGAGUCUUGAUCCCUCUUGCUGGAUAUGUCCUCUUUCAUCAUCUCAUUUUUAUAAAUUCCCUGAUCAAUAACCUUGUUAUGCUUAUUUUUUCUCAUUUGCAGCUGUUAAAUUGUGAUUUUAAAAAAGAUAAAAGCGUGACUUCCAUGAAAAUAUAAAAUAAGAUUUCAUUUAACUCACGAAUGAAUGAGGAAGUCAAGUAGAUGUUUUAUCAGAUUCAAAAGAAUAUCCUGGCUUCUCCACAGUGAAGGAGGGAGGUUGAUUAACUCUGGACAGAGCAGAUUUGCAUAUCUAUAUAUAAGAAUUAUUUUUCAUUGCUAUCAGUUAUCUAUAAUUUGCAGAGAUACAGAAUAACUGCCAUAGAAUCAUAAGCAGAUAAAAUGGAGAUGUGGUGUAGAAAAUGCAUAGUUUUUCCUUUGAAGCACAAUUUUUUUCCUCCAGAGUCUUGAUUCAUUUUUUUACUGUUGACGCAGAGUUGUGGUAUGAAAGUUCUGGAGAACUAUGAAAAUUUCUUAGCAUUAGGGUUUGGGUAACUGUUUUAUUCAUAAUAAGAAAGGGAUACAAGGUUAGAGUAUUUUCAAUAGAAGCAGCCAAUGAGCCUGAGAAAGGAUUUAGUGAAAGGACUGUUACAUUAAAGGAGCAUGAAGUCAGACUCUCAAGAUGGAAGGAGCUUCAGCUUUUGUGCUACUGACAGACACAUAAGGAGGGAGAAAAAGUCAAUUUGAUCAGAGUGCACAUGAUUUUUUUAUGUUUGAAAUAGAAUUGGCCUGACGGAUAGCCCAUGAGCCCUUUGAACCUCUGCAGUGUGCUUCUGCUUAUAGACACCUAGGACCAAGAUAAUUGAGCCAGACAGUCCUGGGAUGAGUCUGCAAAAGCUUGGGCAGGAGGUGUGCUCGAAAGGGAAAUUGAGUGGGCAUGAGACGAAAGGGGUGUUAAACUGUUUGGUGGUUCAUUAUGACCCCCAAAGUCAUCAAUGCCACGUUUCAUCAGCCCUGAGUGAUCUUUGCCUCAGUUUGGUGUACAACGUUGUGUGGCAUAGAGUAGUUAUUGUUAGAUGUCCUCACAUCUUAGGGACAAUAGGAACAAUAUGCAAAUUAGCCAUGGGUAAUGUUCCUAGCCAUGUACAAUUAUGGGUAUUUAAAAUUUUUAGAUGCAAAUUAAACCCAGAGUUCCUUGCGGAUAGUGCCAAUUUUCCUCCAAAUAACAUGUUGCAGAGAUAGGAUAAUUCACCAUAAGCGUCUGUACCAGCAAUAGUAGCUUGGCACAUAUGUAGAUGCUAUUCAGUCACUGUGUAUGGUAUUGACUGAUUUGAAAAGCAUCCAAGGAGAGUUUUAAUUUUUCUAUGAUUAAAAAAAAAACAUUUGAUGCUCAGUUAUUGAAAAAGAAGUGCUGACUUCAGAGCGAUGGUGUAACAUUGUGUUACUAACAUGUGUGUUCAUUCUACCUUCAUUUUCCUUCGUGUUCCUAUAUAUUGGAUGUUGUUUACAUCCUCUCCUUACAGGGGAACCAAAACAUAGAAUUCAGGAACACAUCAGUAGCAUAAAUGUAAAUAAACUUGCACAUGUCAUUGGAAAAAAAAAAAAAAAA